AAAAGUUUAUCAAAAUAUUCUACGCAGCGCUACGAUCACACAAACGUAAAGUUCACGAAAAUCGGAUUUAAAACGUAGAAGUUAUGAAUUUUCUAAGAUUUCUAUAGAGAAAUAAUUAAUUAAAUAGAACCAGGAAAUUAAAAAGUUUCAAAACAGUAAACUAAUAUUUCUAACAUGUAGAUAUCGUAAAUACGAAUCCAACGGAAUUUGAAUGGACAAAAACGGAGUUAAAAUGAGCAUUUUAUAAGCAAAACAAAUCUAGUGGCAAUUCUGUAAUUUCUGGAAAGCGCCUUU
rnacentral:lncRNA from 1 species